GGGUGCUUAGCUCAGUUGGGAGAGCGCCUGCCUUACAAGCAGGUGGUCGGGGGUUCAAGUCCCUCAGCACCCACCA
rnacentral:tRNA from 1 species